rnacentral:lncRNA from 1 species
GGCGUCACUGCCUGCCAUUUCCACCAUGUAACUCGCCGCUGUGGGACACUUGAACUUUAAACUAAGUGAGCUGUGCCACUUCCACAAGCCUUACAAGCUGAGCUUCCACGUUUUACCGGUUCGCUAAAAAUCCCCAAUCAGACACCAGCAUACUAUUGAUAGGGCUUGUCAUCCGGGAGGGGCCUCCAGUUCUCAGAACAGAGCCUGGCCAGUUGUGCCCGAGGAAUAGGGGCUGGCAUUUUUACAGCAAUACUUUCAGCUGACAUAGGAGCGAAGACAUUGCCCAUCUGGAUCCUGUUUUCGCUCUCUCCUCAAGGGUCCUAGCGGCCUGCUGAAAUUCUUGGCCAGGGUAGAACAUUUUUCACAGUAAGUCCAGGGCUUACUGGGUAGCCUCUAGAGGUCUUCGUGACGACUUGGACAUUCUAGCCUGGCUGAUUUCCUUUUUGGUUGACGCGGAAUGCUGGUGAGAUGGGGAACAAGCAAGAGUUCAUGCAGAUGAGAUUCAUCAAACAGAUAGAGCAUAUCCAAUUGGAAUGGAGACAGUACCUGAUCUGGAUCCUCAAUGGAAUUAUAAUUCCACAGGUGGUAUUCUAGCCAGGGACAGGUUUGUUACAUGUCUUUUGGUGGGCCUGAGAAAGGCAGUUCUAAAGCCGGUAAAUUUUGAAAAACUUCAAGAGGUUGUCCAAGACAAACAGGAAAAUUCAUCUCAGUUUUUAGAACGCCUUAAAGGGGCUUUACUGCAAUAUACCAAUCUGGACCCUGAAAACCCAGAGGGUAAACAACCCUUAAUGACUUACUUCUUUUUCCAGAGCUACCCCAACAUAAGAACUAAACUUAAAAAGUUGGAGAGGGGACCCCUGACUCCACAGGCAGAAGUCUUGGCACUGGCCUUCAAAACGUACCAUGGGAGAGAUGAGAGGGUUUGCAAACAGAAGUACAAUAUGCUAGCAAAGGCUGUCUGACCAGCCCCAGCUGCUAUCCCUAGCUCAUGGUCUUCUAAGACCCAGAGACCACUGGGCACCUGUUACAGGUGCAGUCGACAAGGUCAUUGGGCUAAAACCUGCCCUAAUCUCCGUCAGCCAAGAGGGCCAUGCCGUAGGUGCCAUCAAGAGGGACAUUGGGCUGUUGAUUGUCCCCAUGU